GACUUCAAAAAUAAAAAGUUCAAAAUAAUCAGAAAUGGAUUGGAAUAAUCAUUACGAGACUAAAGAAAUCACUGAUAAAGUAUGCAAAAGAAGUAAAAUUGUUAGAAGAAAAUUAACAGUGAACGACACAGCAGACCUAGUUAAAAUACUUCUCAGAGCACAAAAUUAUUAACUUCAAAAUCAGAAAUGCUUGUUAAACUCACAGCAGACAUAAAAAAUUAAAUUAGUAGCAGGUCAAGCAACUAAAAAAAGAAAAGGAUAAUGCUGACAUAAACAUGCUAAAAAACAUAAGCUCAAAAAUAACAGGUCAGUAGCAGGUCAAUUUUAUCAUAGAUGAAUAUGCAAUCAUAUACUAAGCAAUCCUAUCAUAGAGCUUUAGAAACACUUCCUUUUCCUGCAACAGAUCUUACUAGUCGGUAAAAUAAUUCAAACUAAUUUCAUCUAUGGUUUCGUGGAUGCUCUAGUAAGCUAAAUUAAUCUUUUAAGAGUUCGAAUUUAUAGAUACAUACAUCAUAACAGUAAAUUAAUGAACAAUUUCCAGAAAUUACAUUAUCAAAAUCUUCCUAGCUUCUUCUAAAAGCAAUUUAGGAUUCAAGAUUUGGUAACUAAAUUGAAGCAGUUAAUAAGGUUCCAAAAUCUGCACACAUCCACACAAAAAAACAAGAAAUAAUCAUGGAACAGGAUAAGAAUCACUCAAAGGGUUAAUCAAUCUAGGGUUCUAAGGAAAAAAAACAAUUUCACCGACUCAAAAACAUCACUGAAAUCUUGAAAAUCGGUGAAAAGUGCUCCAGCUCCAGCGCCGGAGAAGUACCCG
rnacentral:lncRNA from 1 species